rnacentral:lncRNA from 1 species
UCGCAAGCCUAUAUUAUCCACAUUUUACAACACUUCGCAACGAAACUUUGGAACAUUACUAAUUUUGUGAUGCUCUUUCAAGCUGUGAUGAAAUUUUUGUCUAGAUCAAAAUUUAGCCUAUAAUGCAAAUGGUCCAUUGAUGAGAUUCGGUGGCGCAGUCUGAGAGUAAGCGCCUCUUACCAGCUCUGAGUACGUGGGUUUGAUUCUCGCUACGGACUCAUGUGAAAAGAGCCGGUCAACGCUCUGUCGAAAGUCAUGGGUUUUCGCCGGGCGGAGCGGUUUCCUCGCACAGGGAAAGUUGACAGGGUGGGUUAAGCCCUGGGCAAACUAGGAAACACUGUUGUGGAAACAUUUGUGAUUCUCGAUGUUUCCUUAAAUGUUUCCCUGUUUGCCCACCCGUGGAAACAUUGUUGCGGAAACAAAAUUUCGGCUUCCCGAGACACAAAAAUGUUUCCUAGCGAAUUCAGAAACAUUUGAUGUUUCCCUAUGUUUCUCACUAAUGUUUCCUUGUGUUUGCCCAUUCUUGGAAACAUGGGGAAACAUUGGCAGGAAACAAUGUUUUCGCAACAAUGUUUCCUAGUUUGCCCAGGGCUUUAGGAUAAACACAGUUAAGAAAGUGAUAUCUCACAAUUGUUGUAAAGAUAAAAAAGUCUAAGCGUAAUACUUGAUGUAAAAGCAAAUUCGAUCAUAACCACGUGUAAACUUGCGCUAUGA